rnacentral:rRNA from 1 species
UACGUAGGCAGCGAGCGUUGUUCGGAGUUACUGGGCGUAAAGAGUGCGUAGGCGGCCAUCUAAGUCAGACGUGAAAUCCCCCGGCUUAACCUGGGAACUGCGUCUGAUACUGGGAGGCUUGAGUAUGGGAGAGGGAUGUGAGAAUUCCAGGUGUAGCGGUGAAAUGCGUAGAUAUCUGGAGGAACACCGGUGGCGAAGGCGGCAUCCUCGGAC